UACGGGAGGCAGCAGUGGGGAAUAUUGCACAAUGGGCGCAAGCCUGAUGCAGCCAUGCCGCGUGUAUGAAGAAGGCCUUCGGGUUGUAAAGUACUUUCAGUCGUGAGGAAGGUGUUAAGGUUAAUAACCUUAGCAAUUGACGUUAGCGACAGAAGAAGCACCGGCUAACUCCGUGCCAGCAGCCGCGGUAAUACGGAGGGUGCGAGCGUUAAUCGGAAUUACUGGGCGUAAAGGGCACGCAGGCGGUUAAUUAAGUUGGAUGUGAAAUCCCCGGGCUUAACCUGGGAAUGGCAUUCAAGACUGGUUAGCUAGAGUCUUGUAGAGGGGGUAGAAUUCCAUGUGUAGCGGUGAAAUGCGUAGAGAUGUGGAGGAAUACCGGUGGCGAAGGCGGCCCCUGGACAAAGACUGACGCUCAUGUGCGAAAGCGUGGGGAGCAAACAGGAUUAGAU
rnacentral:rRNA from 1 species